UACAGAGGUCCCAAGCGUUGUUCGGAAUUACUGGGCGUAAAGGGUGCGUAGGCGGUGCUCUAAGUCGGAUGUGAAAACUCUGGGCUCAACCCAGAGCCUGCAUCCGAAACUGGAGUGCUAGAGUUCUGGAGGGGGUAGCGGAAUUCCUGGUGUAGCGGUGAAAUGCGUAGAUAUCAGGAGGAACACCGGUGGCGAAGGCGGCUACCUGGACAGAAACUGACGCUGAGGCACGAAAGCUAGGGGAGCAAACAGG
rnacentral:rRNA from 1 species